CAGCAGUGGGGGAAUAUUGCACAAUGGGCGCAAGCCUGAUGCAGCCAUGCCGCGUGUGUGAAGAAGGCCUUCGGGUUGUAAAGCACUUUCAGUCGUGAGGAAGGUAGUGUAGUUAAUAGCUGCAUUAUUUGACGUUAGCGACAGAAGAAAGCACCGGCUAACUCCGUGCCAGCAGCCGCGGUAAUACGGAGGGUGCGAGCGUUAAUCGGAAUUACUGGGCGUAAAGCGCAUGCAGGUGGUUUGUUAAGUCAGAUGUGAAAGCCCGGGGCUCAACCUCGGAAUAGCAUUUGAAACUAGGCAGACUAGAGUACUGUAGAGGGGGGUAGGAAUUUCAGGUGUAGCGGUGAAAAUGCGUAGAGAUCUGAAGGAAUACCGGUGGCGAAGGCGGCCCCCUGGACAGAUACUGACACUCAGAUGCGAAAGCGUGGGGAGCAAACAGGAUUAGAUACCCUGGUAG
rnacentral:rRNA from 1 species